rnacentral:rRNA from 2 species
GAACGCUGGCGGCAGGCCUAACACAUGCAAGUCGGACGGUAGCACAGAGAGCUUGCUCUCGGGUGACGAGUGGCGGACGGGUGAGUAAUGUCUGGGGAUCUGCCCGAUAGAGGGGGAUAACCACUGGAAACGGUGGCUAAUACCGCAUAACGUCGCAAGACCAAAGAGGGGGACCUUCGGGCCUCUCACUAUCGGAUGAACCCAGAUGGGAUUAGCUAGUAGGCGGGGUAAUGGCCCACCUAGGCGACGAUCCCUAGCUGGUCUGAGAGGAUGACCAGCCACACUGGAACUGAGACACGGUCCAGACUCCUACGGGAGGCAGCAGUGGGGAAUAUUGCACAAUGGGCGCAAGCCUGAUGCAGCCAUGCCGCGUGUAUGAAGAAGGCCUUCGGGUUGUAAAGUACUUUCAGCGGGGAGGAAGGCGAUGCGGUUAAUAACCGCGUCGAUUGACGUUACCCGCAGAAGAAGCACCGGCUAACUCCGUGCCAGCAGCCGCGGUAAUACGGAGGGUGCAAGCGUUAAUCGGAAUUACUGGGCGUAAAGCGCACGCAGGCGGUCUGUUAAGUCAGAUGUGAAAUCCCCGGGCUUAACCUGGGAACUGCAUUUGAAACUGGCAGGCUUGAGUCUUGUAGAGGGGGGUAGAAUUCCAGGUGUAGCGGUGAAAUGCGUAGAGAUCUGGAGGAAUACCGGUGGCGAA